rnacentral:rRNA from 1 species
AGUGAACGCUGGCGGUAGGCCUAACACAUGCAAGUCGAACGGCAGCACAGUAAGAUCUUGCUCUUACGGGUGGCGAGUGGCGGACGGGUGAGGAAUACAUCGGAAUCUACUUUUUCGUGGGGGAUAACGUAGGGACACUUACGCUAAUACCGCAUACGACCUACGGGUGAAUGCAGGGGAUCUUCGGACCUUGCGCGAUUGAUUGAGCCGAUGUCGGAUUAGCUAGUUGGCGGGGUAAAGGCCCACCAAGGCGACGAUCCGUAGCUGGUCUGAGAGGAUGAUCAGCCACACUGGAACUGAGACACGGUCCAGACUCCUACGGGAGGCAGCAGUGGGGAAUAUUGGACAAUGGGCGAAAGCCUGAUCCAGCCAUGCCGCGUGGGUGAAGAAGGCCUUCGGGUUGUAAAGCCCUUUUGUUGGGAAAGAAAAGAAGCAGGUUAAUACCCCGCUGUUCUGACGGUACCCAAAGAAUAAGCACCGGCUAACUUCGUG